rnacentral:rRNA from 1 species
UACGAAGGGGGCUAGCGUUGCUCGGAAUCACUGGGCGUAAAGGGGGCGUAGGCGGUCGGGUAAGUCUGGCGUGAAAUCUCCAAGCCUAACUUGGAAACUGCGUUGGAUACUAUCCGGCUCGAGGAAUGGAGGGGAGACUGGAAUACUUGGUGUAGCAGUGAAAUGCGUAGAUAUCAAGUGGAACACCAGUGGCGAAGGCGAGUCUCUGGACAUUUCCUGACGCUGAGGCACGAAAGCCAGGGGAGCAAACGGG